rnacentral:misc_RNA from 1 species
GCCUGGGACGAAAAAAUGCCGAAAUGCUGGCAACUCCGGGCGAAACGUGAAAUGUAAAUCUGUUGCGAAUAGUAUGCGGUUAUACAUGUCCGGUGUUCUUGACAACUAUCGUUCGGUUUGGGAGCGGAAGCCGGUUCUGCGGGCGGUCUAUAAUGACAUUUUUUCGCCGGAAUACCCAGCCGUACCGUUUCGGGAACGACUCUUGAGAUCGGCGGCGGCAUCGGCAAUCUGAAGGAGCGGAUCGACGAUCUUAUUUCGUCGGACAUUCAG